UACGUAGGGGGCAAGCGUUAUCCGGAUUUACUGGGUGUAAAGGGAGCGUAGACGGUUGUAUAAGUCUGGAGUGAAAGCCCGGGGCCCAACCCCGGGACUGCUUUGGAAACUGUGUAACUUGAGUACAGGAGGGGCAGGCGGAAUUCCUGGUGUAGCGGUGAAAUGCAUAGAUAUCGCGCAGAACCCCGAUUGCGAAGGCAGCCUGCCGGCCCCACACUGACGCUGAGGCACGAAAGCGUGGGUAUCGAACAGG
rnacentral:rRNA from 1 species